AAAUUUAUUUUAGAAAAAACUACUUUUCAACCAUAAAGUAAUCAGUUCUUCUAUGUUGUACUUUUCAUCUGCAGACACAUUUAAAGGAUUUCCUUACAUGUUGUCCUCUGAGGUGAGUUGUCUAUAUGUAACAAAAACAAUAUGACAAUUUAAACUUAAUUUCUCCCAGGACAUAAGAAGCGUAAGUCAAUCUUUAUUACUUCUUGGCUUAAAAUCAAGACUAAACACAAAACGGUGCCGUAAUGAGAUGAGGACCAAUAGUACAAUAUUUGACGUACUGUGAUCCUUUUUUUCUCACUAAUAAACUGGAUUCAUCCAUCUGCUACAUAAAGAUGUGUCGCCUUUGCUGUGUUUGUUCUCUUACAUAAGUUAAAGGAACACAUGCUUGUAGCCACAUUUGUAUUUAGAAGCUCAUUAAAGAUCCUCUGGAAAGAAAAAAAAGGAGAAAGGCUCACAAACCCAAUAUGUUUUCCUUUUUACACAUGAGAAAGACCAGAAAAAAUAGCUUCCUGCAUUGAAUUCCUUUUGUGCAACUCCAACAAUUAACUUCAACACAUAAAUAUGUAUUGAUCGCUUGAUGUAUGCACGCAGAUAUACUAUUUUUAUUACUUUUUUCUUCAAAUGAACCACAUAAAUUGUUCUUAGCAAUGACUUAAAAGAAAAAAAAAAUGAAUCACCUCCUUAAUGCUUUUCUUUUGAAAAGCAGGAGACCUAAGCACAUGGACUUCAUUUCAGACAGGUGUACCAGACAGGCUAUUCUGCCAAAUCUAUUAGGGGGUUGGGGUGUCAUGCACCUUUAAAAGUCGCUGGUCCCCUGUAGAGGCUGUGUUGGUAGCUUCCUAUUUCAAGGUUGAGAAGCUUAGCCGAACACAGACAGCCACCAUUGUGUGCCCGGAUAAUGCACUUCAGUCAUCCUUAAUGUCCUCAGAAAGGCUCAGAAGCUGAGGGGGCUUUAUUUACACCCCACAUCCAAGGACAAAUAUGGAACUUUAAUAGUCAGAUUAAGCCAUUUUAUUGUUUUAUACACUAAACGGGACAAGCUUUAUUUAAAAAUAGGUUGUGUUAAUGGGGAUGAAAAUAGCUGCCUUUACUGUAUAUAUGUUGGUUUUUGUCUGUGGAAACUAUAAAGCAGCCAAAUCUAGGAUAAAAGUGAUAAAAAAAUAGCUUUACUAAUAAAUAUUUUUGGUAAUAAUUCUGAGACAACACCUAAAGAGUCCUGCGUGUGAUAAUCAGUUCCAUACAUUGGCCAGCGGUGAGAUGUUAAAUGCCUAAUUGACCACAGUAAUGGUGCAUAGCUGUGUGAUGGUGCACGAUGGAGACAUGCAUAUUAAGAAACAAUUAAUUUCCAAUACUAAUGUCACUCAUGGCUGCCUCUGCAACAGCAUAUAACAAGGAGCUGUCAGAGAUAAAUCAUUUCACUCUCCAUGUGCUGAAAGAUUUGAUCCAGGCUCCAAAAAGCCAAAAGUCUGACUAUUGUUGAAUAGAGGGGCAUUUAUGUGUUUUUUGAGGCGGCAGAGUCGAAUGCACAGCCUGUAUGGAUUUUUCAGCUUGUAGCCUCAGAGACAAACUUGCUUUAGUAUUUAUUGUGCUAUAUUUGUAGCUCUGUGAAACUAAGCAGGCUAUCAGGUCAAGUCCUUUUCUGCAAAGAUAUAAUAGAAAAUCAAUUUUAAAUAAACACAUUGAUUUAAUCAGUUAUUUUUUUGUUAUAUCUAUCAAUUUGUGUGUUGCACAUUUUUUUUAAUUACCUCAAUGUUUUUUUACACUUAUAGAAGAAAAAGAACAAACAUUUGUUUUACAUUUUCCUUUAUGAAUUAAACCUUUUUAUUUAGAUACCAAGUAAUUAUUGAGAAAGGUGUUUUUUUUUUUUUUUUUUUUUAUACACAGUUGCUAAGCUAAGUAAAAAUAAAUAAAAAUACUAAAAAGUAAUUAAAUGGUGCGGUUGUCUUUAGUUCUCACAGAUCAAGCCAAAGCAGCUCACAUACCAAACUGGCACUCCUAAAUCCGGUGAAUAAUAAUGUGUCAGGCAGAAAUGAAAGUUCUGUCUGUUCCAUGAUGGUGAAUUUCACACAUCUCUCCAGCGUGGAAUAGAAAAGUCACCGAGAAAAGAUGAGGCUGUGUGAAUGGAGUCUUUGAGAAAGUCUCACAAAUCCAAAUGAAUGGCAACGUUUUGGAGGCUUCAGUUCUCCUCCUCUGCCGUUUGAUCCUAAUUUUUUUUAGGUGGAUCUCGUACUGAAAUGUGGCUAAACACAAACUUUUAUAUAAUUAAGCUGGUUCUGGCUCACAGCCUCAAAACGGGCCUUAUGGUGAUUAAAGGCAAAUGCUUGACCUGACCUCUUUUUUUUUAAACGCUGACAGAGUAGCAGUGCUACAGACGAAGGGGAUGAAUUUAGCAUUUUUUCAAAGGGGUCAGUCAUGAGCCUUUGGAAGUUUUCCUUUUUUCUUUGCAGAGGUCAUCAAAUGGUUAAAUCCCCUGUCUCUCGAGCUAAAUGCUCUUCUUGUCUUGGGACUCGAUCCCUGCAGAGUUUUCCCUCCCAUGUUUUUCAUUCACUUUCUCCCUCAACGCUCAACAAGCUAAAUAAAGAUUAGAAAACACAAGAAGGAAUCGGUGCCCUUACUGUAAGAGAAAAUCGUUCGGAGAUGGCGAGAGUUUGCCCCUUUCAUCACUCAAAAUAAAGAAAAAGAUGUAAUCAAUACAGGGUCGGCGGCAAUAACAUUUAGAAAAAGAUGCCACAGUAAACAGGUUGAAAGAAGUAUAUGUUUUUGGUCUUUUGGGUUAAAUUCUUUCAAUUCACUUGAUGUAAAUGAAAUUAAAAUGCGAAAAAGAAAAUCUAUAUCUAUUACUCCAUUAUCGCAGCAGUUCACUGGUGUCAGCCAUUUUGUGGAAAAGCUUGUUUUUCCAGACUAAAACUCUAGAUGAAAUAUAUUGAGUUGUAAGGUAAUGAAAUGAAUAUGACAUUUGAGUCUUUGUUUAGGUAUAAAAAAGUAAGCAGUAAUUACACCGUGGCGCGGUCAUGCAAAGAUCUGAAGAACUGUGAUUGCGUUCAUGCUUCUGGACCUGGCUUCAGAAAGCAUUAAUGGAAAAUUCUGUUGGGCUGCGUCUGUGCUCCGUCUUGUCUGAAAACAUUUCGGCCGUGCGCUCGUGUCCUUGUAAUUAUUUUGGAGAGCAUAUUUGGUUUAACAAGAGCUUAGCCAAUGAGCCAAGACAGGACAUGUUGCAGGCAUCGUCCCUAUGACUAACUUCCACAUGACACCGUGUUCUUUGAGCUGAUAGAUGCAGGGUGGCAGCCUGAAGCAGUGGGCUUUGCCACUGCAGAAGAAUCAGACAUGAUUGGUGCUGUGGAAAAAGCUGACAGCAUGAAUUAUGAAAGUCCUAUUAGAAGCUGUAGGAAAUGAUUUAUGUUGCUAAAAAAAAUAAAAAAAAAAUAUGGUCAUCCGAAGACAUUCGUCUCCAUGGUUACAGAGUCCAUAUUGUGUUUUGCCCAUUUAAUUUCUUAGGUGUGUCGUUCCUCAUUUAUUAUUGAGGAAUUUCCAUGGAUGUCGAACCAUGACUCUAUUAAAUGGAAGGUCACUCUGCAGUAUGCCAAACAAAAUGGCUCAGGAAAAGACAAGAUGCAUUGCUUGGCGUGGCGGUGCCAGGCUUGGCAGUUCGUGUGACUGCCAGGUUAUCUGCUGGGCUCGGAUUUUUCUGUACUGAUGCCAAGAGUUGCUGUUACAGUUUCCCAGUGUCCCUUAGCGGAGCAUUGUUGCAAAGCAGAAGAUAAUUAUGUAAAAUCAUCAAGAUGCUGGGUUAUUCCAUGAGUGGAAAUGAAACUUCUAACUAAAUAGCCACGUCUCACGGGCAUUCAAUUAAAUGCUCCAGAUAAAACUCCCAGAUUUAGAGAACACUUCAGCGUUAUGCUUUGUAAACCAGUCAUAUAUUUUACACUUCUUUCUAUAAAGAGAUUUCAUUAGUAGCCCGCUUUCAUCCUUGUUGCUGCACAGUACUCCUUUCAGUUGCAUCCCUGCAGCAGCCCCACUUUUAGUCACGGGUGGCUCAGCAGUGUCGCUGUUUUAAAAAGGGUAGUGAUUUUGCAAGCUGCAAUCUUGGCAUUGCUCUCACUUUAAGUGGUCCAUAGGCGGAUCCAUUUUUGAUAGCAUAAUGCAGCUGAAGGGGGAGCAGGACAAACUGUCCAGCAAACGCCAAACGUCAAGCAAAUUUCUAUUUUUCUUCUUUCUUUACUAAUCAAAUUUAGAUUUAUUUAUUUUUUAUUAAAAAAAUGUUGUUGUUUUUUAAAUGACUUUAAAUUUAGUUGUAGUGUUUAGUAGGUGGAAUCUGCACUCUAACAAUGUGGCUUUUUAAAGGUUUGCAGGAGUCGAAAUCAUGUGAGCGUAGACUGCCAGAGCCUUUACUUGAAGUGUGAGGGGGAGAAAAAAAAAAGGAGGAACGAUCUGCUCAGAGAGGCCAGCAACAGGGCUUCUUGAUUCAGUGCUUUGAUAACGUCAGAGCUCCAUCUAGGUUGCCUUGCGAGGUACUGCUCAAUAACCUUGUGAUUUAACAUUGUGCUGUAAAUUAUCAGCGCACUCUCCCAUAGCCACCGAUUUGCCUACACAUCUGUAAUACCAAAUGCAUCUAUUUAGAGUGCGAUGCAUUCGCAGCGCUCGUCUCACUACGUCCCCUGCAUUUUUAGGUGGGUUUGCAUGACUUUUCAAUGGGGUGCAGAGGCAGUUGUGCAGAAUUCUAAUUUGGCUUCAAUCUCAGAGUCAACAGGAAGCAAACAGAUGGCCGAAGGAAUAUGAUGGAUAAUUGUACGUCUCAGAGGACAAUUCGUAAUUUGUAUCUGAUUCCUUGCGACCCCCUCAUUUUCCUAAUGAGGGACUAAUUGAGUUUUUACAUAGGCUCAAGCAUAUGGUCCCACCAAUAGUGAGGAGGCUGCCUGACAGUAAAGAGAUGUGUUGAGGACAUCAUUGCUGAUUUCUAAGUACUGCCUAAAUGGCAAAAGCUGAAGAACAUUUUAAAUCUCCUUAAGAAGUGGAAAUACAUUCAUGUGUUUUCAUCUUCAUUCUGUCAUCAUUACAUUGUCAGUCAUUGCUAUUUUUCUUUUAUUUUUAUGUUUUUUUUUCAGUAAAAAGUCACUUUUUAGCCCUUACUGUGUUUGAUAAAUCAAAUAGGAAUGCUUACUUUAAGUUUAAAACAGUAGUUAUACAAUUUUAGGUCAGUUUUUAGAUUUCAAAUGGUCAUGUGUUGCAAUUUAUCCUUUAUUUUUGCUUUUUAAUGUUUUAAUUUCCUUUAUUUUUGUAUUGCUACCACUGUCAAUUGAAAUAAUGUGUCUUUUACAAGGAAAACAUUCACAAAAAAAAAAAAAAGCAUUAUUUUUUCUACAUUUAAGCAUGGAUCGUAAAUGCACUAUCAGGUGAAAAUGUUCUGUUAUUACUAACAAAUGUCGACCAAGACUUAAAAAAAUGACACAAAUAUUUAUGUAAAGGCUUUUCCAUGGUUUGACAUAGUUUCUAUUAUAAUUCAUGACUUGACAGGGGCGGAGCUAUGGGGGGCAUUUGAGGGCAGCUGCCGUCCUCCCCCCUCAUUUUUGAGUCAACACUAGUAUCACUAUUGACAAAGAUUGAGAAAUUAUUAAUAGAAGCUUCUAUACACAUGGCAAAAUGGGAAAAUCAAUAAUUUUAAAAUGAAAUAAAAUGAAUAACACCAUGAAAACUGUUAGAAAUACUUUUUUUGUCUAAUUGGGCUUCCACUCUGGUGUUUUGCCACCCUUUCAAAGUCUUCUGCCCCACUCCCUAUAUCAAAUGUCCUAGCUGUGUCUUGAACAGGAAAAAAAAAUCUUGAUACAAGUGAAAAUGUACCUUAAACAAGCCAAACAUAAAGAAAGUGUAGAGUAAAAUUGACCAGCAUUUUUCAGUUGCAUUGACUUCGCUCUAACUGUUGAGUAAUGGAUCACAGACAAGUGCAGGUUAGGGAGCUAUUCCUCUUCCUUGUGUGUUUGAGUCGUUGUCUCUAUUUCAGGGACUUACACUUUUAAAAGUGCAGCGACAAUGGAGUGCCUCUCGUGAAAACCUGCAUUUGUGCCAGUCAGUCAGAAUUGCACGCAGGGCAGUAAGUGAAGCACCCCUGAUAGAAGCUACUCAUAGGGACUUCUGAGUAAAGGCUCAUUUCAUGCAAGGUUAGACACAUCAGUCAUUGGACAUGGGGUUGGCUUUUACUGCCUUUCAAUAAAAUUACACAUGGAACGUGUCCAUGCAGUGAAGAGGAACCUGGAAAUUAAAUGUCUUCUACUAGAUUCUCAGCGGUGGGCGUGAUCUCUGUCAGUCGAAGCUUUCAAUUCAGCACAUACAGUGGAUCAAAGCCUCGGAGAUAACAGGGGUUACAGAUCUAGGAAUUGUUCAUUCAAUCUGUUCUUGAUCUAACCAAGACUUUGUUUAAAGCUUCAAAGAUUUAGGACAAAUGCCCAAACUCUACAUCUAUUUAAUAUAGGCUUUUAAGUUUACUUUUAUAGGAUAUAUAUGUUAAUCACAUUUUAAAUUGGUAAUAGAGUAUUUUGGAUAGAACAGAAAAUUUCAGUCUGUUGAUUUAUCAAAUGUAGCUUUUAAAUAUUUACAAUAAUUGAAUUAUAACAAUGUUAAUAUUUUUUUCAAAACACAAUUUUAACUCAUUUUACUUUUGAUAGCUGCACAUACAAGUUCCUUUCAAAAUAAAAAAAAAAACACCAGGUGUCAAAAAAGACCUUCCUGCUUUAUUUACAUGAAUUUAAAAAAAAAGCUAAAAUCAAACAUGUAAUUUUCUAUCUUUAUGACUUUAGAGCACCAUCAUGCCCUUUUUCUAUUAUUAUUUUCUAUUAUUUAUUAUUAUUAUUAAAAGGAUAUGGGCUUAUUUUAUUUAUUUUUUAUUAAUAAACCACUAUGACAAAAUGUUGCCAUCAUUUUGCUCAUUCUGAGAUAGUAAAAAUCUAAACAUAAAUGACAAGACUUUAGUAACUAAAAUUAACCAAAUUAUACUACAAAUUAAUUGAAAUUAUUAGAAUUAUUCUUUAAACCAAAGAGCCACAAUAGUGGAAUGAACCUCUUGUAGAGACGCUUUAACGUGUUUGACACUACUCCUAUUAGUAGCUCCUUUCUUUGACCAAUUAUGAUUUUAAUCAAAAGUUAUUACAUUUAGAAUCAUUAUUUUAGCAAAAAAUCUAACAAAUUUAGUUGUUUUCUUGGUCAUAGGAUCUGCAGAGUGACAGUAAUUCUUUAGUAAUCCGCCUCUGGAUUAUGAGCGGUAGCAGAGCAACCCCGCCCCCCUUCCCAUUGCUGAUAGCGCGGAGGAAGAAGAUUGUGUAGCCCACCCAGCAAAUCUGCUACGGCACAAAUACAUUAUUUUUCAAAUGGCAUUUUUUCAUCUACUUCUGAUUAACAAUAACUUGUAUAGAAAAAUAGUCAUAUAUGCAAUUUUGAGCUUUAUUUUCUUAUUCUAUGCCAUCCAUCUUCAGAGGAAUACUACAAGAAAAUGUUAAAAACACCAAAAGCUCAAUUUUUAUCAAAGUGGCUCUUUAGGCAGACGUUUUUGUCUUCUAUCUAUUCUUCGGAGGCUAUACUUCAGUUAAAGAUUUUUUAUUGUUUCAAUUGCUCUUCAACUGCCAUGGCUAUUUCUGUUUCUGCAUGCGGUUCCGAGCUUUGCUAACAGAUGGACUCCUGCAGAUCGGUUUCCAAAGCUCAUUGGAAUAAAAGAGUUAUUUUCUUUUUCCCCUUUCAGAGUGGCCAGGCAUAUUUCAUGCUUAGUGGAAUAAGACGGUUUAUUUCCCUUUCCUUUUAGAAAGGCCAGGCGUAUCUCAAGAAAAGAUCAACUUAUAAGCAGCUUGACUCGAGAGACACGCCACUCAUUCAUUCCAUCUGCUUAAAAUAAAGACAAAGCCCUUUUUUUUUUUUAUUAUUGAAAACCCUGAUCCCAAUUCCCAUCUCUUUAUUACUCACCUGAUCUGUUGAUAAUCUCUGGCAAGCCGGCAAAAAUGGCUGCUUUGUUAAACUGAUGGCACAGUGUGGAAGGAGUAAAGUAUCUUGUAGUUUUUUUUUCCUUUUUUUUCCAUUUCUACUGGAAGUAAUUACACGUUUGAUUCCACACAAUGUCAAGAGCUGAAUCGAGUGCUAAUUCUGCUUUUCCCCUUUUGCAAAUUAGGAUCUUCUAAAAUUGUAAAACAGGCAAGAGAAGAGGGGAAGUUAUCAAAUGAUUUCCUUGUGCUUUUGUGAGUGGUUUUUGAGUAGAGGAAAUUGAUUAAUUUUUUCUUCCUGACAUUGUUUUUUUUAUUUUGCGACAACAAUAAAUACAAAUGAAAUAUAGCUAAAAGAAAAUAAUGUUUUUAAAUUACAAGACGGUGCAACAUAUUCAUAUUUUUGAUAUUUUUAUGCACAAAAAAAGAGCCAUUUAUAUUAAUUUAACACUAAAAUAUAUAAAUAUUUUCCAACAAGAUGUUUAUUUAGCUUCUUAGCUAAUUUGCUCAUCACUAUGCAUCAGAGAAAUUGCACUGCUGUUGUUUUGUGUCAUUAUUAAUGCACACAGCAUGCCAUGCUUCCUACCAGGCUCCACUAGUUCAGUUUGUAAGUCGCAAGAUUAUAAAUGAACUUUUUGGACGUUUUUUGUAAUCUCUUUUAGGUUUAUAGCAAUAAAAACUAAAACGAUUAUAGUCUUGGAAUAGGAUAGUCUUCUCUAGAAAUUAGCCAAACAAAAAUAAAAUACAAAAAAAAAAAAA